rnacentral:rRNA from 1 species
UACGAAGGGGGCUAGCGUUGCUCGGAAUGACUGGGCGUAAAGGGCGCGUAGGCGGUUUGUACAGUCAGGUGUGAAAUUCCCGGGCUCAACCUGGGGGCUGCACUUGAUACGUAGGAACUGGAGUGGGGAAGAGGGUCGUGGAAUUCCCAGUGUAGAGGUGAAAUUCGUAGAUAUUGGGAAGAACACCGGUGGCGAAGGCGGCGACCUGGUCCGAGACUGACGCUGAGGCGCGAAAGCGUGGGGAGCGAACAGG